CGCGUCCCCCCGCCAGCCCAGUGGCCGAGCAGAGACGACUCACCAGUGACAGGAGAACCCCGUUCCCGGACAUGGCUGUGGAGCAAUCGCCGAAGUGAAGGAGCCUUUCCAACCGGCACCAGGGCGAGUUACGCACCCGUUUCAGCUGGGGAGGACUGAAGUGCGGAGCGCACAGGUCUUGCUCGGAGCAGGAGCCUCGGCUGACUGCUGGGAUUCUCAGAGGAGACCCAGCCUUGGCUCGGCUCCUUGUGCCGUGGUGUCGACGUUAGAGGCUCACAGGAACCCCGGACGAGUUUCUGUUGGAGCAUAAGCGUGGCCUGCAGCCCCUCAUCUUGGCUUCUCCACAAAGGAAGGUAUAUUUUAAACCUUCUGGAAAAGAACUAAAAAGAAAUCAUUGGCUCAGAUUUUUUGAUCCCAUGAUCAUCUGUUGUUGGCUCUGAUCAGAUCUCUUCAUAUGUGACUUGACUACUUAGACUGGCCCAAAGGUUUCAUUAAGAACCAAAUGCAAAUUACAUGCCCAGUUUGUGCCAUAUCCAUAGUUCAUUUGCUGGUUCAAGUCUAUCAGAUGGGUAUUGACGAAGAACAAAGAUCUUAGUAACUUGCUUUGUAUGUGCCUCGAUGAUUAUGAUCAAGUUGUUCAAACCCGUAAUGAGACAUGCCCAAAAAGGGAGGAUGUCAUAGAUAAACUAUUUAAAAUAGUUUUACAUUUCUAAGCAUCCUCUCCUCCUAUACACACACUGCCCUCUGGGAAGGAUGGUUCUUUAAAAGACUCCUGUGUUGUAGUGGUUAUGAGUCUGCUGGGGUUUGGAGAGGCUGGGACUGAGCACAGACCCAAAGCAGGCAUCUUCCACUCACCUGGCUGUGAAGUCUUGGAAAUUCCAAGUCAUCCAAGGGGCUUAUCAAUACUCUAAGAUUAUUCUUCAAAUUUAUUUUUAUUUAAACCAUGGAAAUAUGUUGGGAAAAAUUGUUUAAAAGAGAAGGGAACUGUGAAAUCCAACAAAACUAAGGCAUUAUUCAUAAUAAUAUCUAAUAAUAUUAAAAUGUCUAAUGCUUAAUAAUAACUAAUCUUGACACAGACAUUUGUGUGUUCUUUGCAUUCAUACUAACUCAUUUAAGCCUCGUAACUUAAAGUAGACCCUGUAGGUCCAUGAAGUAGGUUCCGUUAGCAUCUCGUUUCAGAUAUAAGAAACUUGUUGCAGCAACUUACCCAAAGUCACCUGGUUAUAAAGUGGCUGAGGUGAAGUUCUAAAGUCCAGGCUGAAUCGACUCUAAGGAAGUACAGAACCUGAUUGUUUUGUUGUUCUGUUGAGCACAUGGUUUCUGGUUGAUUACUGUCAUACUUUCAUCAUUUUAUUUUCUUAAAUUUCAGGUUUAUUUCCUAAGAUUUCAUGAGCUAAGGGAACUCUUUAUUGCACUGAGUGAAAUCUAUCAAGUAAGAAAUGUUGCUGUUUAUAUCCACUCACUCCUAAUUAUCAUAGCUCUUGUCCAUGUUAAUUGGAUUGAAGUGAUGACUGUAAUGAUUAAGAUUAUGUGGCCAUAACUCCACACUCUCAGUCUUUCCAAAUCUUAAUAUUAGAGAUAAAUCACCUGGUGAUUUUAUUAAAAUUCAGGGUUUGAUGCAGUAGGUCUGAAGAGAAGCACGAGAUUCUGCAUUUCUCAUAUGCACACCCCUGAUGUGGAUGGCAAAUCUGGAGAGGAGUUGUUGGGUUGUCAAGGUAACCAGCUCAGAGAAACUAGCCAUUGAUCCAGCUCAGACAGAGGCAGACAAGCUGACCCCACUUUUAACAGUUUGACCAACUAUAUUAUUAUUUGAGAAUUUCUUUCAUGGUAUUAGGUAGGGAAUGUAGGGAUAUCAACAAAUUAAAUAAUGUCAUAAUAAGCAUAUUUUUAUCCAGUUUCCAUUUAGCUUACUAUUAUACUCCCUAGGCCAAAUUUUCACUUAGCAGAAACGAGCCUUCUCUGACCACAUAAAUAAAUCCUUCCUAUCAAGAAAAAUAAGGAGGAAUAAACUUAGUUCAUUUUCAAACAUACUGAACUUUUAUUUCCUUGAACGGAAAGAAAACUGGCCAGAAGCCUGCUGAUCCCCUCAGCCAAUCAGAAUAAUGUGACCAUAAAUGUCCAUGAAUUCCCCCCUCAGUGAAUCUCUGCCUUCUUUAUUUCUGUCGUGGGGACAUGUAUCUUACAGUUCUGUGCACAUACUCUGCCUUUUAUGUCUUACUUUCCCCUUCUCCAAAAUAAAUAAAUAAAUAAAUAACCCACAGUGGAUCUCUCAUGUAGGAUUUUUUUUAUGUUAAAUUUAGUGCAUGUACAGCUUUUGAUUAUCUUUCAAUGAUAGUAUCUAACACAUUUAUUUAGAGCAUU